UGCACGUAUAGCAGUUACUUAAAAAAAAUCACAUCUAGUAAAAAAAAAGUUGUAUUAUUCAAAAUCGGAUUUCGAACUGCUGGUAAUCUGUGAUGUAGGUAUUGGUCUGUGUAAAAGUUUUCCAUACUUUGCCAAAUUCUAAUAUUUAAAAAAAAUAAAAAAUAUUGAUUGCCGACCCUUUUUUGAAGCUUGAGUUUGUGAAAAAAUAUCCGAUGAAAGGAUAGCUUGCAAAAUAUGUUUCCGAAAGCAAAAACAAUACAAUACAGAAUCACGGUUCUCAUUUUCACAAUAAAGUAGAAGAUGUGGCCGUAUAAAACCAAUUAAUAAUUUCUAUAUGCAAACAACAAUGAGCAAAACCCUUACCUUAAAGUCAGCUAUGAAAAGCCCCGAAAUGACAAAUGUAAAACAAUUCAAACGAGAAAACUAACGGCCUG
rnacentral:lncRNA from 1 species